GUUAUAUAUAAAUCUACAGGCUCCCGACAACAUCAUCACGAGCUCUUUCUCUUGAAACAUUCAGCCUCAUGUCCCCUCAAAACCAAAAAUCCUUUCUUUAGAAAAUGCAAACUUUCUAUUUUCUUCUAAAUGCACCAAAAACCAAAACUCAAUAAUCACCACCUUCCGACGUGCAAACAGAAAAAUGGUCCAAAUGUGUAAAUUUUCAUAAUUAAUCCAACCACCUGGAUCUCAGAUCUACAAGGAAGCAACUACUCAUAUGACACAGCAGCAAGCAGCCAGUUGAAUGCUAAACCUUCCAAUUAUUUUUGAGGAGCAGCUCAAUCACCUCCAGCUACUCUGGACCUGACAGACAGAAUCCUAUCCCUUGCUCGUCAACACCCGGUAGUUGAGGAUAAGGUCUUCAGGUUUCUUCCAUAUAUAUGCACGGACAGUCGCUAAGCUCAUAUCAGGGGAUAAGACCUGGUUACUGCACAAUAUCUCUAUGGAUGGUUUAAGCUUUUGCCAAGGCUUCAGCCCAGUCCGAAAUAUGCCAUCUCCUCCAUUAGCUGGGUGUGUCACCUGUCCACCAGACACUCCAGCAGCUCCAUCUGAGUUUAGGCUAUCCAGUGGCUUAUCAAGAACCAUCUUUUCUAUAACAUAGUUGACGACUUUGUGAAUUCUUAAUAUGCGAGGCGCACUCAGCUUUCCCUGGGUAAGGAUCUGAACAGUAGAACCCUCGCAUGGAUGUAAGUAGAAGCUACAUUUGGUAUUUUCCCUGGGAGGCAACCGAUUGUUCAUCACACAAUCCACUACCCACCAUGGCAUGUCCUUUUCAUCUUCUGUUCCAUCUAAGUCGGUAAUCUUUUUCCUCCAUGGACCACUUUGAGAACCCUCAGUAAUAAUUGAUGGAGGGCAUGCUGCUGAAAAUUCAAAGGGAGGAUAUACUGCAGCAUCAUUGUCAGCACUACCGUCCACUUCAAUUUUUGACGCGGUCAGAUUCCUUGUAGGUACAUCCUUUGGCCAAUGGGGAAGCCCCAGCUGGA
rnacentral:misc_RNA from 1 species